rnacentral:rRNA from 1 species
GACGAACCGUGCGAACGUUGUUCGGAAUCACUGGGCUUAAAGGGCGCGUAGGCGGGCUGACAAGUCUGGGGUGAAAUCCCGCGGCUCAACCGUGGAACUGCCUUAGAUACUGUCGGCCUCGAGGAAGGUAGGGGCAUGCGGAACUGUAGGUGGAGCGGUGAAAUGCGUUGAUAUCUACAGGAACUCCGGUGGCGAAAGCGGCGUGCUGGACCUUUUCUGACGCUGAGGCGCGAAAGCCAGGGGAGCAAACGGG